rnacentral:rRNA from 1 species
GAUGAACGCUGGCGGCGUGCCUAAUACAUGCAAGUCGAGCGAACAGAUGAGGAGCUUGCUCCUCUGACGUUAGCGGCGGACGGGUGAGUAACACGUGGAUAACCUACCUAUAAGACUGGGAUAACUUCGGGAAACCGGAGCUAAUACCGGAUAAUAUAUUUAACCGCAUGGUUCAAUAGUGAAAGACGGUUUUGCUGUCACUUAUAGAUGGAUCCGCGCCGCAUUAGCUAGUUGGUAAGGUAACGGCUUACCAAGGCAACGACGCGUAGCCGACCUGAGAGGGUGAUCGGCCACACUGGAACUGAGACACGGUCCAGACUCCUACGGGAGGCAGCAGUAGGGAAUCUUCCGCAAUGGGCGAAAUCCUGACGGAGCAACGCCGCGUGAGUGAUGAAGGUCUUCGGAUCGUAAAACUCUGUUAUUAGGGAAGAACAAAUGUGUAAGUAACUAUGCACGUCUUGACGGUACCUAAUCAGAAAGCCACGGCUAACUACGUG